ACAAGCUCAGAGCCGCCGCUGAUCCAGAGUUUCUUGAAGAAAUCGAGCGCGUCAGGACGGAAAACCAAGAACUUAAUCAGGUACCUGGUUUUUGGCUCGACUUCUUUAGCUGACGCUUGCUUUUAUCGAUGGAUUGCUUCCCAGUUGUGUCAGCGCUAUGAGAAGAUGCUGCAUUCUUACUGUGGCCAACUCGGCGUCCUGUUCAAACCUCUCAGGAGCGAAGGACUGAGGUGAGCUCACGCUCCCUUAUCUUAGUAUAGCAAACAUAUUGUUUUGAGAAUCCAUCCUAGCUGACUUUGAGAGAGCUUACUG
rnacentral:lncRNA from 1 species